GUACACUUCAGCAGCACAUUUACAAAAAUUGGAACAAUACAGAGAAGGUGCACAUGGCUCUUGUGCAAGGAUUUCAUGAUAAAGUGUGAAGUGUUGUGACCAUAC